rnacentral:rRNA from 1 species
GUGCCAGCAGCCGCGGUAAGACAGAGGUGGCAAGCGUUGUUCGGAAUUACUGGGCUUAAAGGGCGCGUAGGUGUCCCGACAAGUCAGAUGUGGAAUCUUUUCGCUUAACGAAAAAACGGCAUCUGAAACUAUCGGGAUUGAGUCAGACAGGGGAUGGCGGAAUUCCCGGUGUAGCGGUGAAAUGCGUAGAUAUCGGGAGGAAGGCCGGUGGCGAAGGCGGCCAUCUGGGUCUGAACUGACACUGAGGCGCGAAAGCGUGGGUAGCAAACAGGAUUAGAUACCCUCGUAGUCC